GGAAGGGACGUGCGCUGCCACAAAGGGGCAGUGAACGUUGCUUCCCCUUUGAAAACAAAACCAAAAGAAAACAAGAAAAGGAAAGAGAAGAAGAGGGGAAGAGGGAAGAGUUUGGGAGGCUCGUGGGAGAUAAAAAGGGGUAUGGGUCUGCACUUAGGGAGGGAAAUCAUUGCUGCCAAGUUUCUGAGAGAGGUGAAGUUGAAGCUGCAAGCAAGGUUUGGUUCUGCAAGUUGGGGAAAAGAAGAGGAGGAGAACUUUUGGAGUUGGAAGGAAAUCAAACUCUCUGGAAGUGAUUCAAGGAAGUCUUCAAGAGCAUUUGGACACAGCACACGUGUCAGCGUUUGAGAGGGCCACGUUUUGAGGGAAAAAAGCUGCUGCGUUCUGAGCAUUUCUGAUCAAGCCUGCUUCAAAUUUGACGUGAGGACGGGCACGGGCAGUGUUGGGUGUGCGUUUCAGAAAUUAAAAUGAAAAUGAAAUAUCACUUGGAAAGGGAGCGGUCAGGGGUAUUUGUUUGGCGUUUGAAAUUUGAAUUUCAUUUUUGAACAAUUUUAGAGAGAAGUGAAGGUUGAGAGAGAGAGUCUAACCUAGAGAGAGCCCGAGAGAGUUGGAGAAAGGGAGUUCGAGAGAGAGAGGUCCGACGGAGUGCUUGCCGGAAUGCCGCCGGACAACGUUGAAGGCCGUGUCGGAGCUAUUCAACUCCUCCAGCCGGUUCCGAUUCACGGUCGCCGCAGCUCCGACGUUGGCCAACGAAACGAAGGCGGCAUCGUCUUCCCUCCAACCCAGCGAACUAGGGGCGCGUUCUGAGUCUCGAUUCGUCCCACCUGCUUCCCUCCCUGUGCCGGACCUUUGCAUUCACCGCCGGAGCAUCGCCGGAGUGCCGCCGGAGUGUCGACUGUUCGGUGGACGAAAAAGAGGGGUUUAGGUUUAGGUUUCUUUCCCAUUUGGGGAGGUUUAGGGUUUGGUUUCUUUCCCAUUUUCAUGUAUUGAACUGAGUCUCUUUGAAAUUUUCUAGUUGAAUCUGUUUCUCCA